GUUUUUUAUUCAUUUUCUGACUCUUGAUAAAUUUGACAAAUGCACAUGUAUGGUCGAGCUCGUACUAAACCGUACGAGUAUACUCAUACGGUAGGAGCAUACGUUUAGGUAUACUUAUAUGGUCCAGACCGUACCCGUACGGUUCAAAUACUCAUAUUGUCUGGAACAUAUAUACAUGUAGCAUUGUUGAAAAAAAUGUACUUGUACUCAUCAUGGAUAAUACACAAUACAGAACCACAUCCGCGUAUAAUUUAUUCAAUUCAUCUUUCAUUCUGAAACAAAUUCAUUUUUCUUUUUGAAAACAAAACAAACAUGCAAACCAAUGAGUGAUGGAAAUCUGCUGAGCACCACAAAAUGCAUGAAUGUGUGGUAUUCUUUAUCAUUAUUUUGCUUUCAAACAAGAACAUGAUGGUUCAAAGUAUAUUUUUGAGAUUUACGGACCGUUUUGGCUGCUGUGGAGCCUAACAGACACUGAAUGGACAUCUUACUUAUGUUUUAUAGAUAUUUGCAAAAGAAAUUUAAAUGUCAAAUAUAGGCUCCAAAUUAUGUCCCCAGCAUAUACAUAAAGAGAACGC
rnacentral:lncRNA from 1 species